rnacentral:rRNA from 1 species
CCUACGGGUGGCAGCAGUGAGGAAUAUUGGUCAAUGGACGCAAGUCUGAACCAGCCAAGUAGCGUGAAGGAUGACUGCCCUAUGGGUUGUAAACUUCUUUUAUAUGGGAAUAAAACGUUCCACGUGUGGGAUUUUGUAUGUACCAUAUGAAUAAGGAUCGGCUAACUCCGUGCCAGCAGCCGCGGUAAUACGGAGGGUCCGAGCGUUAUCCGGAUUUAUUGGGUUUAAAGGGAGCGUAGGUGGAUUGUUAAGUCAGUUGUGAAAGUUUGCGGCUCAACCGUAAAAUUGCAGUUGAAACUGGCAGUCUUGAGUACAGUAGAGGUGGGCGGAAUUCGUGGUGUAGCGGUGAAAUGCUUAGAUAUCACGAAGAACUCCGAUUGCGAAGGCAGUUCACUGGACUGCAACUGACACUGAGGCUCGAAAGUGUGGGUAUCAAACAGGAUUAGAUACCCGUGUAGUC